UGGCACUAUGUUUCAAAGGCUGCGCCAAUAUUCUGUAAAGAAUAAGAAUGGGAUAGUCUUUGAGCAAAUGUGCAUAAAUUAAAUGCCGAGUUGAGCUCGGCGGCGGCCAGACAACCGUUGAGAUGGAUCCACAGAUCAGCGCCGCUCUAUCUACGGUGCUUGUCUACUAAAUCCAUCUCAAAUUC